UGUUUCUAUUCCGAGACCCCGCUGCCGCUGCGGACGCCAUGGAGACCGUCAAGGCGCAGACUGUUGUGUGCCGCCUCUUCCAUGGGCGUCCACGCCAUGGAGCUCCUUAAGACACCCUCAAUGAUGACCAAGGUGGAGUGCAGGACAUCGAGGACAUGAUA